AUGUGGCGCGUUAGGUUCGACGUAUUUCAAUGCAUAUUUGAAUUUUUUUUUUAUAAUAGAUUUAAUAUUUUUGUUUAUCAAUCAAAUGUUGCAACAGUGGGGAGACUGUUAUUGAGUUCAGGUUUUAUCUGGAUUUGGAUUUGUGAUCGAAAUUUACCUUCUGCUGCUGCUGCUGAUACUAUAAUGAUUGUUAUAAUUAUAUUUAAGAUCGAAAUUUACCUUUUUUUUUUUAAACUGCGUUAG